GUCUAAAGGAGAUGCCACGAACGCGGUGAUGUUUAAUUGAAAUCGGUACGUUCUCGGUGUGCGUUUAAAUCUGGCUUUCGUCUCUUCCUGUCGCGCGUCAAGUUAAUAAUGCACGAGCUGGUUUGGGAUCUGGCUCAGAAGCAAGUCGUCGAUUCGAGUUACUUCGAUUUUUGAUCAGUUAAUUCUCGCGGCCGUUUUGAAAAGUCGAAGUAAAGCAGGGUGGAUGGCAUUUCAAACAGCGCGGGCCGCGCCGGAGGUUACACUUGCAAAUUUCAACUGUUUAUAUCUUGACAACGAAGCCUCGGAUCACAAAAUGGAGCAAACGGAUUCCACCGAUGCACAACAAAAGGAAGCCCCAAUUGACGAAUCCCGUAAAGUUGUCGAAGCCUGAACUCCAGGAGAAGAGACUAUCUCUAGGACGAUGGCAUCUGUAAGGAGAAAGAACGG